rnacentral:rRNA from 1 species
AACGAACGCUGGCGGCAUGCCUAACACAUGCAAGUCGAACGAUGCUUUCGGGCAUAGUGGCGCACGGGUGCGUAACGCGUGGGAAUCUGCCCUUGGGUUCGGGAUAACCGUUGGAAACGUCGGCUAAUACCGGAUGAUGACGUAAGUCCAAAGAUUUAUCGCCAAGGGAUGAGCCCGCGUAGGAUUAGCUAGUUGGUGGGGUAAAGGCCUACCAAGGCGACGAUCCUUAGCUGGUCUGAGAGGAUGAUCAGCCACACUGGGACUGAGACACGGCCCAGACUCCUACGGGAGGCAGCAGUGGGGAAUAUUGGACAAUGGGCGAAAGCCUGAUCCAGCAAUGCCGCGUGAGUGAUGAAGGCCUUAGGGUUGUAAAGCUCUUUUACCCGGGAUGAUAAUGACAGUACCGGGAGAAUAAGCCCCGGCUAACUCCGUGCCAGCAGCCGCAGUAA